UACGUAGGGGGCCAGCGUUGUCCGAAGUUACUGGGCGUAAAGAGCGUGUAGGCGGGUCUUUAAGGGAGAGGGGAAAGGUUCAGGGCUCAACCCGAACAAUGCCUUUCAUACUGGGGACCUUGAGGGCGGGAGAGGCGAGUGGAAUGGUCGGUGUAGCGGUGAAAUGCGUAGAUAUCGAUCGGAACACCCAUGGCGAAGGCAGCUCGCUGGCCCGCAUCUGACGCUGAGACGCGAAAGCGUGGGGAGCAAACAGG
rnacentral:rRNA from 1 species